UACGAAGGGGGCUAGCGUUGCUCGGAAUCACUGGGCGUAAAGCGCACGUAGGCGGCUUUUAAGUCAGGGGUGAAAUCCUGGAGCUCAACUCCAGAACUGCCUUUGAUACUGAGAGCUUGAGUCCGGGAGAGGUGAGUGGAACUGCGAGUGUAGAGGUGAAAUUCGUAGAUAUUCGCAAGAACACCAGUGGCGAAGGCGGCUCACUGGCCCGGUACUGACGCUGAGGUGCGAAAGCGUGGGGAGCAAACAGGG
rnacentral:rRNA from 1 species